rnacentral:rRNA from 1 species
AGAAUCAACGCUGGCGGCGUGCCUAACACAUGCAAGUCGCACGAGAAAGGGACUUCGGUCCUGAGUACAGUGGCGCACGGGUGAGUAACACGUGAAUAAUCUACCUCCGAGUGGGGAAUAACUGAGAGAAAUCUUAGCUAAUACCGCAUAACACUUACGAGUCAAAGCAGCAAUGCGCUUGGAGAGGAGUUCGCGGCCGAUUAGCUGGUUGGCGGGGUAAUGGCCCACCAAGACAGUGAUCUGUA